rfam:Rattus norvegicus chromosome 13, whole genome shotgun sequence.
GGGAAAUGGGGGGAGGGGACAGUCCCAGGACCAAAAACAAGCUUGUGGGGCA